rnacentral:rRNA from 1 species
UACGUAGGGCGCAAGCGUUAUCCGGAAUUAUUGGGCGUAAAGAGCUCGUAGGCGGUUUGUCGCGUCUGCCGUGAAAGUCCGGGGCUCAACUCCGGAUCUGCGGUGGGUACGGGCAGACUAGAGUGAUGUAGGGGAGACUGGAAUUCCUGGUGUAGCGGUGAAAUGCGCAGAUAUCAGGAGGAACGCCGGCGGCGAAAGCGACUCUCUGGCCUGUAACUGACGCUGAGGCGCGAAAGCUAGGGGAGCAAACGGG